UCGAAUCUGAAAUCAAGCAUAGAUAGUGUUAAUAGCAUUUAUCAUACUACCUCUGUUUCAGAAUACUUAGCAAUGUUAAUUUUAUUAUUUAAAUUUUAACUCGCUCCGCAAAGUGGGAGCCUUUGAGGUUCGCUAUCACAGUAGCAACACAACUUCGAUUCAAGUCACUAAUACAAAAGUAGAACAAACCCUUAGCAGUGAGCAUUACCACAAGAUAUAAGAGUGGUGUAUGUAGCUGAUUCGGUGUCAUACUUGUCGAGAAGCUCCCUAGGUGACAUGCCAUCGCACACUCAGAUGAUAUAUCAGUCUAAUUGCACCGUUCAGCUUGCUAAUGAUUCAAACAGCUGCGGAUCUUACGGGGGCGGGAGGGGCUCAAGCCCUCCCCCUAGCCGCUGGAGAAGGGAAAACCAGGGGUUAAGAAGGAGGAAGAAAAAGAGGAAGAAUAGAGUUCCCUUUAGGAUAGCUCUAGAUCAAACAGAAACAGAAACACUGCACAGCAAGCCAAAUGAGCAGCAGCAACACUAGCAGGCAGUACAUGGAGCUGGAGUUCUUGCUAUCAGCAAGCUUUUUAGGCUGAUCUUCCCGCCUGCCUGCCUGCCACUCGAAUACUUGUGUCCUUAUGUUCAAAGAACGAAACAGAGUAGCUUAUUAUAUCCUAAUACUGUUUGUGAUUACUGCUGCAAUCAAGCAUUGGUAAUUCCAUCACCGACAUACCGAAUUUUAGUACAAGUUUGUUUAUAUGCUAAGAAGUGAAAAUAGAGUCCGUGCUCUGACCACGUGGAUCAGUAAUACAGAAUCAAUAAUACAUGUAUUCCUAGAGAUAUUCCUUGCUGGCAUCAUGGCAUGCCUUGUAUUUGGACAAAAGUAUGGAUUAAAAAUAUUAGCAAGCUCAUCUUCAAGUAACAUAAGGAGUUCGCUACGUGCUAGAAAAUAGCAAAUUUCAAUAAUGAAUAGAACUUUUUUUGUGUACGUGCGGUGGAAUUAUGCCAUAUUACAUGCUCGGAAAAUUUAUAUAUCAACCACAGCAAGUCUAACUUCCUUGUUGAGUUUUUAGGUGGUUCAAAAGCGUAUCACUCCGAUACAGUUCAUGCGAAGGCAAACCUUUAAAAAAGAAGUUAGUGCAAAGGAAAAGGCAGGGAGGAACAAACGACAAUUAUGCAAAGGAAAAGGCAGUGAAGAUGCUUCAUUUUUAAAUAAAAAAAAUCUAGGAGGACUACACUUUCCGAGUAUUUCACUGUCCUACAAUUUAAAAUCAUGUGAAGGCAAGAGACAGGCAGAAAUACAACUGCGAUGAUAGGACAGUGAAGAAACCUAUGUUUUGGAUGUUCUGUUUCUAGGUAUCCUCUACGCAGCACAUAGAAGCAGUGGAUAUCCUGUGGGUUCGCUACUUCACUUGGACUUCCAACCCAAUCCCAAUGUGCUGAACACAGAGCACUACCAUGAACUGGUCAAGCCAUACCAAUUCAUCCAGCAUUCACAAGAGAGGGAAAAGAUGGGCUCGCAGAGCUGUGGUUCUAGCCAUGUCAAAGCAAUUCUGGGCAGAAUGAAGCCCGGAUGCCUGGAAGGGAAGCAGAGGCGCUGUGAGACCGACACAGCCAGGGGCAGAGCAGAAGUAAGACGAGACACACUUGAAGACAUCCUUUAUUCUCCGCAGAGCAUCGAAGCCGAGGCAGUUGGGGCACCUUCUCCUCGGAGGCAUUCUCCGAAGGUCUGCCCAGUGAACCUGGAUUGCUCUUAUGAGAACAGCUCUCCUAAUGUCAGGGAUAGCUUCUCCACCGAUAGAAUGUCCCUGAGGCGCCAAAAUAGCAUAGCCAGGAGGGUUAGCUUCAGAUUACCUGACGAAUCUGACAUAUUCAUCAUUCCCGCACGCAAAGAUCCUGAUGAUUACUCCACCAAAGAUGAAUCCACGGAGGAUGUAAGUGAAGAAAACAUUUAUCCAAAGAAACCUCAUUAUGUUAUAACCAGGUACUACUAGGUUUGGUCUGCUAUGCAACAUCAAGAUUACCAGACUACAUGAAAAGAAGCUCAUGAAGAACAAGCCUGUCACUGGAUAAAUUUUUUCUGAGAAGGUACAUAUGGUGCUAGAAUAAUUGAUGUAUGUGCUUGCAUAGAUGGUUGCUUUAUCAAGCAAUAUACCAUAUGCCACUUUAGGCCUAUCAUAUUCCAUCCAGGACUGCAGAGUAUAUUCUUUUAUGUAUUUCACCCUCAGUUUUCCAGAGUAUUGUAAUAGACAUCAUUUCCACCUUGUCCUGUAAACUGGAGAAUAUCCAAGAAAAGGUUCUGUAUUUUACAGAAUCUCCUACCAGUGCAAGUAUAAAAACACAUUCCCAUCAAAAUAUUCAAUAAGCUGUACAAAGUCUAUUUUCUGAGAGAAAAAAGAUAAGAAAAUUACAAGUGAGCGCACAACACAGACAUAUCUAUAAGUAGAUUUUUUUU